rnacentral:rRNA from 1 species
AACGUAGGACACAAGCGUUAUCCGGAGUUACUGGGCGUAAAGGGCGUGUAGGCGGACCUAUAAGUCUAUUCUGAAAGCUCCUGGCUAAACUGGGAGAGGCGAAUGGAGACUGUAGAUCUAGAGUGAGGAAAGAGGAAAGUGGAAUUCCGCGUGUAGUGGUGAAAUGCGUAGAGAUGCGGAGGAACACCAGUGGCGGAAGGCGGCCAACUGGUCCGGUACUGGACGACU